UAAAAGGCCCUUUUCAGGGCCCAAUAUUAUGCAAAUGGAGCUGU
rfam:Ixodes scapularis strain Wikel colony gcontig_1108378880880, whole genome shotgun sequence.